rnacentral:lncRNA from 1 species
GCCCAACCCUACACCUGAUUCCCAUUCAUUCUAUAGAUUUGACACCUCGAGAGCAGAUUUUUUUUUUCUUGUUUUUUUUUUUUUGUACACUUAACAUUUAUAAAUGUAGCUCUGACCUAAACAGACUAGGCAUUCCUUAUAUUUUGUAUUUAUUUUUCCUGAUUAAUUCUUUCUCUAACCGGGAUGUCGUGACGCAACAGGUGCGCGCUCAGACCACGCCUCCUCGCGAGGCGUUCAGGUGUUUAAAAAAAAAAAAAAAGUAGAAAAAAAAAAAGAAAGAAAAACGCUCGUUAAAUACCGCGAAGCUCCGACAAAGACAGAAAGCAGAAAGCAGAGAGCAGCACAGGUGAGGGGCAGACUGACAGUGUCACCGUGAGGACACACACACACACACACACACACACGCAGACACAGUGCAGGAGAGUCGCUGUCAGCAUGAACACUGCCGUGGUCCUACUACCUGUGUCCAUACUGCUGUCCGUGGGCUUCAUGGGAGUCACAAGGAUCCGGCGAAAGGAGCUGGAUUCUCAGACUCAGCAGAGGCAGUUUCGGGAAAUCACGAUGCAAGUGAAUAUCGACCUGGUGGCGCAAAACAGCGCAGCGAUUAUAGAGACGCAGAAGCAACUGGAGAAUACCCAGAGUGAAAUCAAAACUCUGACUGACCAAUACAACGUGGUCGUUGCCAGGGCCGAACAGGCCAAGACCAACUGGGAGGAAUGCAGUGGAGAACAGGUUUGAAUGACGUGUUUAACCAGUUUUCCUGGUUGGAAACCAAACCCGUUAAUUACAACUGGCACAAUUCAUCACACAAAGCAGUGCCAUUGUGUGUAAUCACAGAUGUCGGCUAAGAGUGGAAUAACUGGUUAUCGCAACAAAACCUCAUAA